rnacentral:rRNA from 1 species
AUUGAACGCUGGCGGCAGGCCUAACACAUGCAAGUCGAGCGGAACUGCGGACGGGUGAGUAAUUCCUAGGCAUCUGCCUGGUAGUGGGGGAUAACUUCCGGACACGGGCGCUCAUACCGCAUACUAUCAGAUGAGCCUAGGUCGGAGUGGCUAGUUGGUGGGGUAAAGGCCUACCAAGUCGACGAUCCGUAACUGGGCGUAGAGGAUGCACAGUCACACUGGAACUGAGACACGGUCCAGACUCCUACGUGAGGUAGCAGUGGGGAAUAUUGGAAAAUGGGCGAAAGCCUGAUGCAGCCAUGCCGCGUGUGUGAAGAAGGUCUUCGGAUUGUAAAGCACUUUAAGUUGGGAGGCGUUACCAACAGAAUAAGCACCGGCUAACUCCGUGCCAGCAGCCGCGGUAAUAC